rnacentral:rRNA from 1 species
CAGUAGCCGCGGUAAUACAGAGGGUGCGAGCGUUAAUCGGAUUUACUGGGCGUAAAGCGUGCGUAGGCGGCUUCUUAAGUCGGAUGUGAAAUCCCUGAGCUUAACUUAGGAAUUGCAUUCGAUACUGGGAAGCUAGAGUAUGGGAGAGGAUGGUAGUAUUCCAGGUGUAGCGGUGAAAUGCGUAGAGAUCUGGAGGAAUACCGAUGGCGAAGGCAGCCAUCUGGCCUAAUACUGACGCUGAGGUACGAAAGCAUGGGGAGCAAACAGGAUUAGAUACCCCGGUAGUCCCUGUCUCUUAUAC